UUGUUUUAUUGGUUGUGCACUUAUUGUUUUUAUCAAGAAACCAAGAUUCAUUUAAGUCUUUUACAAAAAGGGCAUAUGAAAAGAGACGCAGUAGACGUGUCCAAAAAGAAUAUUAAAAAAUACUAGAAUUUUCAUCAGUACAUAUGGAAAAAAAAUCGAAUGUUGGAACUUCUAAAAGAAAUGAUUUCUUAUCUUGCGAAAAUCUAAAAGAAUAUUUUGACCAUCAUGAGUCAGCGAUUUUGUACAAUGAAUACUCUUAUGACCAAAAGCCUAAUGAGUAUAAGCAUAACCCAACUUUAAAGGAAAGUUUUUCUGCAUGUUUUUUUAACCAAGUAAUUAUGCACUAAACAAGUGGAUUGACAAAGAAUACCAACAAAUUUAUUGUCCCAAAAAAAAACUAUAAUCAUGCACUGAAAAACAACCUUUUGUCAACAAAAGAAUGGCACAAAUUUCCAUUGAUAAAGUGUAAGAUAACAGAUAGUCAGUAUCUAACUUGUUUUGUAUUUUUUUUAAAGGUAACUUAAUUACUUUUUUGUAGCAAAAUGUUUUAUAAUUAGAUUCAUUUUCAUGUUGUGAAGAAUACAACUUUCUACAUCAGAUGAGAUAUAUGUUAAAGAAAGUAUUAAAAAUAAGAAUAACAAAUCAUAUUGCUCUUCAUUGCCAGAACCUCCGCCACCUAUUAUGAAUAAGCCCGAUGCUAAAAAGUUGUUAUCAGGUUCAAAGAUUGAAGAAGAUAAUUUUUCUUCACAUUUUAUUGAUGAACACCAAGCAAAGUUCACAUUGUCAAAGAGUUUUAAGUUUUAAUAGAUGCAAAAUGUUAUUCUCAAGGAGCUUGCAGAAAUAAAAGUUCUUUUAAAAGAAGUUAUAGAAAUUAAGUUCCAGGUUACUGGGGUGAAGUUGCUAGAAUCGGUGGACAAAGUGGUUACACUGGAUAAUAAACUAAAAGAUAAAACCGACUUGAUAGUUUAAAAAAGAUUGGUGGUGGAAAGCCAAGAGAACAUGUUUUUUUGAUCAUGUAAAGGUUAUUUUCGAAUCAGUUACAGUCCAAAUUAAAUCGAAAAGGAAAUGGGGAAAAGAUAAGCUUAGAAAAUCUAGUAAAUAUAUGGAGUGUUUUACGAGAUAUCGGCGAUGUAGAAGAAAAUAUUGACGGCAAUGCAGAAAUAUAGUUUCUUAUGUAUAUUUUUGUGAAAUAAAAAUUAAGUAAUGUUAGUUAAAAUGUUUCUUUACUUAUUUAA